rnacentral:rRNA from 1 species
UACGAGGGGGGCAAGCGUUGUUCGGAAUUACUGGGCGUAAAGCGCGCGCAGGCGGUCUUCCAAGUCAGUGGUGAAAGCCCGGAGCUCAACUCCGGAAUUGCCAUUGAAACUGUUGGACUUGAGGAUGAGAGAGGUGAGUGGAAUUCCCAGUGUAGAGGUGAAAUUCGUAGAUAUUGGGAAGAACACCAGUGGCGAAGGCGACUGACUGGACAAGUAUUGACGCUGAGGUGCGAAAGCGUGGGGAGCAAACAGG